rnacentral:lncRNA from 1 species
UUCCCCCAAAGCUAAUUAUAUGAAUUAAGACUUCGGUCUCACUGCUGUAACAAAAAGAUCCAAGGACACAUGGUUCAAUCAAGAGUCUAUCUGUCGUGCCCAUUAUAGUCUUGGUGGUCCAGACAUUAGGGCUGCAUGGUUACAGCCAUCACUAUGUUGGACUUACAACCCAGUCAGGAGGAAGAGAAGGAAGUGCCGCAGGUGUGCUCAGUGUUUCUUUAUAGGUUCAUAUCAUGGAAGUGUAUAAAUCACUUCCACUCACACCUUGCUGGACAGAACUUAUUCACACAGCCACACUUAACUGUAGGGUAUGCUGGGCCAUUUGGUCACCAGCUGGGUGGCUCUGUGGCCAACCUAUUAGAGAGAGGGAAUGGAUAUUGAUCAACAACUAGUUGAAUGUGUUUCAUUCACCCUUCUACAGUAGAAACAAAACCUUUUUAGAUUUCCAAAAACAUCAGUGGGGAGGUUAUAUGGGAUCAUGAUUAAGUAGAUGGUAUUUAGAAUCUGACUGCCUGUGUGCAAAUCCUGGUUCUCUCACUAUUCGUGUGGACAUGGGCAAGCUGUUUAACAUUUAUGUGCUUC